GAUGAACGCUGGCGGCGUGCCUAAUACAUGCAAGUCGAGCGAACAGACGAGGAGCUUGCUCCUCUGACGUUAGCGGCGGACGGGUGAGUAACACGUGGAUAACCUACCUAUAAGACUGGGAUAACUUCGGGAAACCGGAGCUAAUACCGGAUAAUAUAUUGAACCGCAUGGUUCAAUAGUGAAAGACGGUUUUGCUGUCACUUAUAGAUGGAUCCGCGCCGCAUUAGCUAGUUGGUAAGGUAACGGCUUACCAAGGCAACGAUGCGUAGCCGACCGGAGGGGGGGUCCGCCCCACCUGAAACGGGAAACCGUCCCAACCUCCAAGGGGGGGCAGCGGGAGGAAAUCUUCCGCAUGGGGGGAAAGCCUGACGGAGCAACGCGGCGGGAGUGAUGAAGGUCUUCGGAUCGUAAACCUCUGUUAUUAGGAAAGAACAAAUGUGGAAGUAACCAUGCACGUCUUGACGGUACCAAAUCAGAAGGCCACGGCUAACUACGU
rnacentral:rRNA from 1 species